rnacentral:rRNA from 1 species
AGAGUUUGAUCCUGGCUCAGGACGAACGCUGGCGGCGUGCCUAAUACAUGCAAGUCGAACGAAGCUUUCUUUCACCGAAUGCUUGCAUUCACCGAAAGAAGCUUAGUGGCGAACGGGUGAGUAACACGUAGGCAACCUGCCCAAAAGAGGGGGAUAACACUUGGAAACAGGUGCUAAUACCGCAUAACCAUGAACACCGCAUGAUGUUCGUGUAAAAGACGGCUUUUGCUGUCACUUCUGGAUGGGCCUGCGGCGUAUUAACUUGUUGGUGGGGUAACGGCCUACCAAGGUGAUGAUACGUAGCCGAACUGAGAGGUUGAUCGGCCACAUUGGGACUGAGACACGGCCCAAACUCCUACGGGAGGCAGCAGUAGGGAAUCUUCCACAAUGGACGAAAGUCUGAUGGAGCAACGCCGCGUGAAUGAAGAAGGCCUUCGGGUCGUAAAAUUCUGUUGUCAGAGAAGAAUGUGCGUGAGAGUAACUGUUCACGUAUUGACGGUAUCUGACCAGAAAGCCACGGCUAACUACGUGCCAGCAGCCGCGGUAAUACGUAGGUGGCAAGCGUUGUCCGGAUUUAUUGGGCGUAAAGGGAACGCAGGCGGUCUUUUAAGUCUGAUGUGAAAGCCUUCGGCUUAACCGAAGUAGUGCAUUGGAAACUGGAAGACUUGAGUGCAGAAGAGGAGAGUGGAACUCCAUGUGUAGCGGUGAAAUGCGUAGAUAUAUGGAAGAACACCAGUGGCGAAAGCGGCUCUCUGGUCUGUAACUGACGCUGAGGUUCGAAAGCGUGGGUAGCAAACAGGAUUAGAUACCCUGGUAGUCCACGCCGUAAACGAUGAGUGCUAAGUGUUGGAGGGUUUCCGCCCCUUCAGUGCUGCAGCUAACGCAUUAAGCACUCCGCCUGGGGAGUACGGUCGCAAGACUGAAACUCAAAGGAAUUGACGGGGGCCCGCACAAGCGGUGGAGCAUGUGGUUUAAUUCGAAGCAACGCGAAGAACCUUACCAGGUCUUGACAUCUUCUGACAAUUCCAGAGAUGGAACGUUCCCUUCGGGGACAGAAUGACAGGUGGUGCAUGGUUGUCGUCAGCUCGUGUCGUGAGAUGUUGGGUUAAGUCCCGCAACGAGCGCAACCCUUAUUGUCAGUUGCCAUCAUUAAGUUGGGCACUCUGGCGAGACUGCCGGUGACAAACCGGAGGAAGGUGGGGAUGACGUCAAAUCAUCAUGCCCCUUAUGACCUGGGCUACACACGUGCUACAAUGGACGGUACAACGAGUCGCUAACUCGCGAGGGCAAGCUAAUCUCUUAAAGCCGUUCUCAGUUCGGAUUGCAGGCUGCAACUCGCCUGCAUGAAGUCGGAAUCGCUAGUAAUCGCGAAUCAGCAUGUCGCGGUGAAUACGUUCCCGGGCCUUGUACACACCGCCCGUCACACCAUGAGAGUUUGUAACACCCAAAGUCGGUGGGGUAACCUUUUGGAGCCAGCCGCCUAAGGUGGGACAGAUGAUUGGGGUGAAGUCGUAACAAGGUA